UUUCUUCAUAGCAUAGUAUUCUUGGACCCAUGAUCUUCUAUUAAAAGGGACAGUCUCUGAAGAUAAGAAGUACACAGAAGAAGCCAGAUAAAGGACACCAACUGUUCUGUUGCCAUUUUGAGCAUUAGAAAUGGCUGGAGAAGCAACUAUCUGGUGAAGAAGGCAAUUGGUACUGGUAGACAGAAUGGAAGAUGGUUGAUGCUUCUGCCACCCUGCCAUCUGCAUGGCCUGAGGAGCUGAUGUCACUGUAACUGUACCAGUCUGGGGACUCUGGGGAUGUGCAGAGGAAGCAGAUGGAGAAGAAACUUGUGGUCACAGCAUGUAAUGACAGCAUGAGAGGAAACCAAUUCCAAUGAAUGGAGAAAAAAUGGUGGAAUGACCUUCUAAAGGCCGCAGAAGGAGUUGAAACUGAGAUGAGAUCAAGGAGCUCCUGACUACCCUGCCCCCAGGGAAAACAUCAGAUUGUUCUGCAUCUCUCUUCUGCAACUAUUGUACUGACAAAGGCCUUUUGCCACACUCAUGUAAGCGUGUCUACAAGAUGGAUUUUUAUGACUGCAGUGAAAUUUGGGAGAUGGCCGGGACACUCUGGUUUCCAGCAAUCCCAUAUCACACUUCCCUCAUGUGCUUCUCUCUCUCCUGCCUCUAUGCCUUUUUCAAUAAACAGGCAAAAUUACCCAUGAGCAAGGCUGUAAGGGACAGUACAGAGCCAGUGAAAUCAUAUGCCUCCUGUGCUUGCAUAGUUAGCAGCAAGUGUAUAUAACACGGCCCUGCCCUUCCUCUUCUAAUGAAAGUGGCUUGCCACCAGGUAGGUGAUCCGCUGCCAAAGGAGAUUAAUCUCCGCUUUUAGAACAUGUUUUGGGGUUGGAAGGGAUAUCAGCAGCUUUGAUAUGUUUUUAACAUCAUCUAAAGCGUAGCCAAGGGAUAUAAUCGUACCCUUGAGAGAGCGAAGGUACAAUACGUAGCUAAGUGCCUCUAAUCCACAGUAGCAUGAUUAUCUAUUGAUAACUGCCUCCUCCCCUUCAGGUGUCCUACUGAUCUUGAGUUUGGUUAAUAAAAACAAAUGAAUUCA